rnacentral:lncRNA from 1 species
CCAACAGAGAAAUCAGUUUUUAUGCUGAUCUAACCAUGACCACAUUAUUCCUACACAAAUCUGCAGGUUGUUGCAGGCCCCCCCUUUGACUGAAAGCAAGAUGAAGAAAACCCAUAAACAACCAAAAGAAAACAAACAAAAAAGAAAAAAAAGAAUUGAUGAGUAGAAUUGCAGAAACACUUAUUGGAAAGAACAAUAAGCUUCUUCUUAUACUUGUGUUGUUCAUAACCUGACAAAAUGCUAUUUCUUUUUUCUCCUUUCUUUCUUCCUAAUUUGUUCCUUUUACCUCUGUGUAAAGCCACCACUGAUUCAAACUCCUCUCCCCAAGAGAAAGAGGAUAAAAAAAUUUCUUUCUUGUUACCAAAAGCUUGUUCUGUUCUGUUCUUGUCUCUUUGUCUGUCUAUCUGUCUGUACACUCUGGCACCAGCACUAAAAAUAUCUCAGACCCCUUGCUGAAGAAAAUUACCAACCUUUACCAGGUGACAAAGCCAGUUGCUU